UGUCGUCAGCUCGUGUUGUGAAAUGUUGGGUUAAGUCCCGCAACGAGCGCAACCCUUAUCCUUUGUUGCCAGCGAUUAGGUCGGGAACUCAAAGGAGACUGCCAGUGAUAAACUGGAGGAAGGUGGGGAUGACGUCAAGUCAUCAUGGCCCUUACGACCAGGGCUACACACGUGCUACAAUGGCGCAUACAAAGAGAAGCGACCUCGCGAGAGCAAGCGGACCUCAUAAAGUGCGUCGUAGUCCGGAUUGGAGUCUGCAACUCGACUCCAUGAAGUCGGAAUCGCUAGUAAUCGUGGAUCAGAAUGCCACGGUGAAUACGUUCCCGGGCCUUGUACACACCGCCCGUCACACCAUGGGAGUGGGUUGCAAAAGAAGUAGGUAGCUUAACCUUCGGGAGGGCGCUUACCACUUUGUGAUUCAUGACUGGGGUGAAGUCGUAACAAGGUAACCGUAGGGGAACCUGCGGUUGGAUCACCUCCUUACCUUAAAGA
rnacentral:rRNA from 1 species